AGUUCGGAUUGGAGCUGCAACUCGACUCCAUGAAGCUGGAUUCGCUAGUAAUCGCGCAUCAGCCAUGGCGCGGUGAAUACGUUCCCGGGCCUUGUACACACCGCCCGUCAAGCCAUGGGAGUCGGGAGUGCCUGAAGUUCGUGACCGUCACAGGAGCGACCUAAGGCAAGACCGAUGACUGGGGCUAAGUCGUAACAAGGUAUC
rnacentral:rRNA from 1 species